rnacentral:rRNA from 1 species
UACGGAGGAUCCAAGCGUUAUCCGGAUUCAUUGGGUUUAAAGGGUGCGUAGGCGGAAUGAUAAGUCAGUGGUGAAAUCCUUCAGCUUGACUGGAGAACUGCCAUUGAUACUGUCAAUCUUGAGUACAUUUGAUGUGGGCGGAAUGUGUCAUGUAGCGGUGAAAUGCUUAGAUAUGACACAGAACACCGAUUGCGAAGGCAGCUCACAAAACUGUAACUGACGCUGAGGCACGAAAGCGUGGGUAUCAAACAGG